rnacentral:lncRNA from 1 species
AGGCGUUAAAAACUCCUCAGAUUGCUGCCAAUAUCCAUCUUGUUGAGCCUCCUUGGCUUGAUUUUGUGAGCCUUGCACCAAAGAAUUUAAUUCAUCAAAAAUUUGAUUGUAAUCUAUUGACGAAUCUGAGUUUGAUUGGGCAUAUUGUAUAUGAGGUUGUGGUGGCUACAUAGGUCCUGAAUAGAACUCCUCAUAUGGCUGCCAAUAUCCUUCAUGUUGAACUUGUUGAGCUUCCCACCACAUAGAGUUUGAAUGAUCACUCCAAUCUUUUUGUGAACAUUGAUUGGCUUGAUAUCCUUGCCUAUAAGAUGCACCAAAUAUAGGGACAUUUUGCAUUGUGGUCCUUUCGGCAUACUGCGACAUUUGAGAAGUAAGAUUUGCCAAUUGAGCUUGAAUGCUAGCAAAAUCCAUGUCUUACUUCUCUAGUACCUAAAAUCAAAGAAAGAAAACUAAAUCAAAUAUCAAAAGUAAAAUAAACAAAACAAAACAAAAACAGAAACUAAAAACAAAAGACAAGAAAAGAAACAAAGUCAGUAACUAAAACAAAAGACACGAAAAAGAAAUAAAAAGAAACAAUGGGGGAUUAGCAAAGUUGCUAAUCCCCGGCAACGGCGCCAAAAUU